rnacentral:pre_miRNA from 1 species
UGAAAGACAUGGGUAGUGAGAUGUUUCAUAUAAUUCACCUUACUACUCUGUCUUUU